UGACCAUUAGGCAGCGAAGCCACCCCCCACCUUGUCACGGGACCGAGCGGUCAGCUGGUUGCUGCCAGGGUGGGGGAGGAGCCUUGGCUUGAGUGGCGUAUCCACUCGGCCAAUCAGAGCGCGGAAGAGCUCUGCACCAUUUCUCCCACUCGCCCAUAUAAUCGGAGGCGAGCGGUGAGGAAGGCCGAAUCUCAGUGGAACGAAUGGACAACUGACUUGACCAAUGGAAGCCUUUCCCCUCCCACUGCGUUGGGCGGAGAGGAAUAUCAGGUGAAAAUGCAUGAGCCAGCUGUACCCGUGCCAGCUUGUGUCCAGAAGCCUCACUGGCUUGAUGAAAGGAAUGGGUGGAGUGAUUUUCCAGUUUGUGUUGAGGGAACACCACUCCAUUAUGAAGCCUUCCCAAAAAAUGAAUGUCUAAUCUUCUUAUGACUCUUCUAAGGAAAAAUAAUUUCAGCCUGAAGAACCUGUUAUUAACUCUAUGCAAGUCAGAGAUUUCCUACAGAAAACAAUGGCUGAAGAUUUCUUGUGCACACACUGGAGAAAUUGGUUAUCAUCUGGAGGAUGGAACGUGAGAUCCAUUGAUCUGUUUUUCAGCUCUUUGGGCUAUAAUUUC
rnacentral:lncRNA from 1 species